UGGAGAGGCCCCCGGACCGCGAGCGGCAGCUGGGGAGGGGGUAGCGGAGCCGGAGCGCGAGAAACAGCUGAUCCGAUUUUCCUUAAAGCGAGAGAAAAUGGAAGUCGGGUAGCGGCGACUGAGGCGCUGCGGGCUGGCCGAGCGGAGAGGCACGGCGCGGCAGGUGUCUGUGUGCCAGACGCUGGACCAACUACUGGUCCCCAAUGGAGAUUAACAGACGUGGCCCAGCCUUUCCUGGAGCUUCCAGUACAAUGAAGGAUAAAGAUAUUAUCACACACACACACAUGCACAUACUGCAAUUAACGUGAAGCACAGUAAAGGAAAAAAGUCUGCUGUGCUGGAAGCCUGCUCCACGUCACCCUCACGCUGAUAGAGCCGCGGACAUCUGGAAGGUCACCAGGCGUGGCAGCGGGAAUAAGGGAAGGACCGACAAUGAGAUGCAUCCACUCAGAAUGACACACGUCACUUCUCCUCACGUGUCGCUGACCAAAGCAACUUAUAAGUCCACACGUCGCUUCUGUGGGCCAGGGAUGCCCUUCUGCUUGGUGCCUGGGAGUAGGAGAAACGCGGAGAUUAGUGAGCAGGGUCACUGCCUGCCGCAGAGCAGUUCUGCUCACCAGAGAUCUGGCUCCAUCAUCUUCCCAUGCAAAUAUCCAAUGAAUUGCUCCCGGUGAGAAAAAUAAAGUCCCCUCAGCCUGAAGGUCAGGGAUUCUGUGUGAUUCCAGUCACCUUGUAAGAGCCAGAUGCAGCUUCCCUGAGUCUGCAGGCCUGUGGACUAAAGAGGCAAGUUAGCUGACACCACACAGCUGCACAUGCAACUAAACACACACACACACCCCGUCAACCACACAAACAUUCACACAGUCACAUGACCACACAUACAGCACACACAACCCACACACAUAAGCAUGCACACACAUAGAAACACACACACAUGCAACUACUAACACAGUCACACACACUCAACCACAGAACACAUACAAAACCACACACACAACUACUAACACAAUCAUACACACACAGACACACAC